GACGAACGCUGGCGGCGUGCUUAACACAUGCAAGUCGAGCGGUAAGGCUCCUUCGGGAGUACACGAGCGGCGAACGGGUGAGUAACACGUGAGUAAUCUGCCCUUCACUUCGGGAUAACCACCGGAAACGGUGGCUAAUACCGAAUACGACCAGUCUUCGCAUGAGGUGCUGGUGGAAAGUCUUUUCGGUGAAGGAUGUGCUCGCGGCCUAUCAGCUUGUUGGUGGGGUAAUGGCCUACCAAGGCUUCGACGGGUAGCCGGCCUGAGAGGGUGACCGGCCACACUGGGACUGAGACACGGCCCAGACUCCUACGGGAGGCAGCAGUGGGGAAUAUUGGACAAUGGGCGAAAGCCUGAUCCAGCAACGCCGCGUGAGGGAUCACGGCCUUCGGGUUGUAAACCUCUUUCAGUACCGACGAAGCGCCCUGUCGGGUGGUGACGGUAGGUACAGAAGAAGGACCGGCCAACUACGUG
rnacentral:rRNA from 1 species